rnacentral:rRNA from 1 species
GACAGAGGGUGCAAACGUUGUUCGGAAUUACUGGGCGUAAAGCGCGUGUAGGCUGCUCAGAAAGUCGGAUGUGAAAGCCCUGGGCUUAACCUAGGAAGUGCAUUCGAAACUUCUGAGCUUGAGUUCUGGAGAGGAAGGCGGAAUUCUCGGUGUAGAGGUGAAAUUCGUAGAUAUCGAGAGGAACACCGGUGGCGAAGGCGGCCUUCUGGACAGUGACUGACGCUGAGACGCGAAAGCGUGGGGAG